GACGAACGCUGGCGGCGCGCUUAACACAUGCAAGUCGAGCGAGAACCCAGGCUUCGGCCUGGGGGAAAGCGGCGAACGGGUGAGUAUCACGUGGGUAAUCUGUCCUCGACAUCGGGAUAGCCCGGGGAAACCCGGAUUAAUACCGAAUGGCCCAUCCGCUCUUUGGAGUGGCUGGAAAAGGUAGCUUUGGCCUCCGGUCGAGGAGGAGCCCGCGGCGGAUUAGCUUGUUGGUGAGGUAACGGCUCACCAAGGCUCCGAUCCGUAGCUGGUCUGAGAGGACGAUCAGCCACACUGGGACUGAGACACGGCCCAGACUCCUACGGGAGGCAGCAGUGGGGAAUCUUGCGCAAUGGGCGAAAGCCUGACGCAGCGACGCCGCGUGAGGGAAGAAGGCCUUCGGGUUGUAAACCUCUUUCAGGAGGGACGAAGCCACUCGGGUUAAUAGCCCAGAGGGUGACGGUACCUCCAGAAGAAGCCCCGGCUAACUACGUGCCAGCAGCCGCGGUAAUACGUAGGGGGCUAGCGUUGUCCGGAUUUAUUGGGCGUAAAGAGCGUGUAGGCGGCCAGGUAGGUCUGCUGUGAAAACUCGAGGCUCAACCUCGAGACGUCGGCGGAAACCAUCUGGCUAGAGUCCGGAAGAGGAGAGUGGAAUUCCUGGUGUAGCGGUGAAAUGCGCAGAUAUCAGGAAGAACACCCGUGGCGAAGGCGGCUCUCUGGGACGGUACUGACGCUGAGACGCGAAAGCGUGGGGAGCGAACAGGAUUAGAUACCCUGGUAGUCCACGCCGUAAACGAUGGGUGCUAGGUGUGGGCGGUGUCGACUCCGUCCGUGCCGAAGCUAACGCAUUAAGCACCCCGCCUGGGGAGUACGGCCGCAAGGCUA
rnacentral:rRNA from 1 species